UACGUAGGGGGCAAGCGUUGUUCGGAAUUACUGGGCGUAAAGGGCUCGUAGGCGGCCAACUAAGUCGGACGUGAAAUCCCUCGGCUUAACCGGGGAACUGCGUCUGAUACUGGAUGGCUUGAAUCCGGGAGAGGGAUGCGGAAUUCCAGGUGUAGCGGUGAAAUGCGUAGAUAUCUGGAGGAACACCGGUGGCGAAGGCGGCAUCCUGGACCGAGAUUGACGCUGAGGCGCGAAAGCUAGGGUAGCAAACGGG
rnacentral:rRNA from 1 species